rnacentral:tRNA from 1 species
GUUAAUGUAGCUUAAAAUAAAGCAAAGCACUGAAAAUGCUUAGACGGAUACUAUAUCCCAUAAACA